rnacentral:rRNA from 1 species
CAAGUCGCACGAGAAAGUGGAGCAAUCCAUGAGUACAGUGGCGCACGGGUGAGUAACACGUGAAUCAUCUACCUCCGAGUGGGGAAUAACCUAGAGAAAUCUGGGCUAAUACCGCAUAACACUUACGAGUCAAAGCAGCAAUGCGCUUGGAGAGGAGUUCGCGGCCGAUUAGCUAGUUGGCGGGGUAAUGGCCAACCAAGGCGAUGAUCGGUAUCCGGCCUGAGAGGGCGCACGGACACACUGGAACUGAAACACGGUCCAGACUCCUACGGGAGGCAGCAGUGGGGAAUUUUGCGCAAUGGGGGAAACCCUGACGCAGCAACGCCGCGUGGAGGAUGAAAUCCCUUGGGAUGUAAACUCCUUUCGAUGGGGAAGAUUAUGACGGUACCCAUAGAAGAAGCCCCGGCUAACUUCGUGCCAGCAGCCGCGGUAAUACGAGGGGGGCAAGCGUUGUUCGGAAUUAUUGGGCGUAAAGGGUGCGUAGGCGGUCUGACAAGUCUGAUGUGAAAUCUAUGGGCUCAACCCAUAGUCUGCAUCGGAAACUGUCGGGCUUGAGUAUGGGAGAGGUGAGUGGAAUUUCCGGUGUAGCGGUGAAAUGCGUAGAUAUCGGAAGGAACACCUGUGGCGAAAGCGGCUCACUGGACCAUUACUGACGCUGAGGCACGAAAGCUAGGGGAGCAAACAGGAUUAGAUACCCUGGUAGUCCUAGCCCUAAACGAUGAUCGCUUGAUGUGGCAGGUACCCAAUCCUGCCGUGUCGAAGCUAACGCGAUAAGCGAUCCGCCUGGGGAGUACGGUCGCAAGGCUGAAACUCAAAGGAAUUGACGGGGGCCCGCACAAGCGGUGGAGCAUGUGGUUUAAUUCGACGCAACGCGAAGAACCUUACCUGGGCUCGAAAUGCACAGGAAUCCGGUAGAAAUAUCGGCGUCUA